GACGAACGCUGGCGGCGUGCUUAACACAUGCAAGUCGAACGGAAAGGCCCUGCUUUUGUGGGGUGCUCGAGUGGCGAACGGGUGAGUAACACGUGAGUAACCUGCCCUUGACUUUGGGAUAACUUCAGGAAACUGGGGCUAAUACCGGAUAGGAGCUCCUGCUGCAUGGUGGGGGUUGGAAAGUUUCGGCGGUUGGGGAUGGACUCGCGGCUUAUCAGCUUGUUGGUGGGGUAGUGGCUUACCAAGGCUUUGACGGGUAGCCGGCCUGAGAGGGUGACCGGCCACAUUGGGCCUAAGAUACGGACCAGACUCCUACGGGAGGCAGCAGUGGGGAAUAUUGCGCAAUGGGCGGAAGCCUGAUGCAGCAACGCCGCGUGCGGGAUGACGGCCUUCGGGUUGUAAACCGCUUUCGCCUGUGACGAAGCGUGAGUGACGGUAAUGGGUAAAGAAGCACCGGCUAACUACGUG
rnacentral:rRNA from 1 species